rfam:Ailuropoda melanoleuca scaffold1326_85, whole genome shotgun sequence.
GCCUGCCUGGUUCAGUUGGUAGAGCAUGCGACUCUUGAUCUCAGGGUUGUGAGUUCAAGCCCCAUGUUGGGUG